GAUGAACGCUAGCGGCAGGCAUAAUACAUGCAAGUUGAACGGGAUUCGGGCAGCAAUGUCUGAUGAGAGUGGCGCACGGGUGCGUAACACGUAUGCAACCUGCUUUAAACCGGGGAAUAGCCCGUGGAAACAUGGAUUAAUACCCCAUAAGAUUGUGGACAGGCAUCUGUCAGCAAUAAAAGUUCCGAUGGUUUAAGAUGGGCAUGCGCGUCAUUAGCUUGUUGGCGGUGUAACGGACCACCAAGGCUACGAUGACUAGGGGGUCUGAGAGGAUGUCCCCCCACACUGGUACUGAGACACGGACCAGACUCCUACGGGAGGCAGCAGUAGGGAAUAUUGGUCAAUGGGCGCAAGCCUGAACCAGCCAUGCCGCGUGCAGGAAGACUGCCCUAUGGGUUGUAAACUGCUUUUGUACGGGAAGAAACCCACCUACGUGUAGGUGGCUGACGGUACCGUAAGAAUAAGGAUCGGCUAACUCCGUGCCAGCAGCCGG
rnacentral:rRNA from 1 species